rnacentral:sRNA from 1 species
AACAUCUUUGAGCCUGGAACUGAUGGGGCCCUUGGAUUCUUUGGGGCCUUGCUUUCUCUUCUGUGCCAGAACUUCUCUAUGGUGGACGUAGUGAUGCUUCUCCAUGGGCAUUUCCAGCCACUACAACGGCUCCAGCCCCAGCUGCGAUCCUUCUUCCACCAGCACUACCUGGGUGGUCAGGAGCCCACACCCAGUAACAUCCGGAUGGCAACCCACACAUUGAUCACAGGGCUAGAAGAGUAUGUGCGGGAGAGUUUUGUGAGUAACCCUUCUCUAUUCCUUUCCUCUCCUGGGUCUGGUCAAGGCAGCUGCCUCCUCCACUCCCAGUCUUAUGAUUCUUGAUUUUGGGAUCUUUGUGUUAUCUUGUCUCUCAGUCCUUGGUGCAGGUUCAGCCAGGUGUGGACAUCAUCCGGACAAACCUGGAAUUUCUCCAAGAGCAGUUUAAUAGCAUUGCUGCGCAUGUGCUGCAUUGCACAGGUCAGGGGCUGGCCAGGCGGGGGCAAGUGGGGCCUGUUGCAUGUGCAGGGCUGCCACGUGCCAGCAUUCCCUCCUUGUAUUUUGCCCACAGAUAGUGGAUUUGGGGCCCGGUUGCUGGAGUUGUGUAACCAAGGCCUGUUUGAAUGCCUGGCCCUAAACCUGCACUGCUUGGGGGGACAGCAGAUGGAGCUUGCUGCUGUUAUCAAUGGCCGAAUUGUAAGCACCACCUAGCCCCAGAUCCUUAGCCUUUUGUUUCCUGAGGUUUCCAUUCUCUGCAGUUUUCAUUUUUCUUUUCUAAACUGACAUUCUGUAACCUGGAUCUAAUCUAUUUCUAAAGGUGGUUGAGGGUUUUGUGUUCUAAAUCUGCUUUCUGUCCCUCAGCGUCGUAUGUCUCGUGGGGUGAAUCCCUCCUUGGUGAGCUGGCUGACCACUAUGAUGGGACUGAGGCUUCAGGUGGUACUGGAGCACAUGCCUGUAGGCCCUGAUGCCAUUCUC